GAGUCCUUUUCAUGAGCAUUUUUCAGUGCGUCACAAAUGAUAGAAAAAAAGGUAAGUCCGUGAUAAUACACAUUUAUGACAUUUAUUCUAACAUGACAUUUUAGUUAAAUCUGACAGUUGUCACAUUUUAUUUUCAA